UACGGGGGGGGCAAGCGUUGUUCGGAAUUACUGGGCGUAAAGGGCUCGUAGGCGGCCCUCUCAGUCGGAUGUGAAAUCCCCAGGCUUAACCUGGGAAUGGCAUCCGAUACUGGAGGGCUUGAAUUCGGGAGAGGGAUGCAGAAUUCCAGGUGUAGCGGUGAAAUGCGUAGAUAUCUAGAGGAAUACCGGUGGCGAAGGCGGCAUCCUGGACCGAGAUUGACGCUGAGGAGCGAAAGCUAGGGGAGCAAACGGG
rnacentral:rRNA from 1 species